GGGAGGCAGCAGUGGGGAAUUUUGGACAAUGGGCGCAAGCCUGAUCCAGCAAUGCCGCGUGCAGGAAGAAGGCCUUCGGGUUGUAAACUGCUUUUGUACGGAACGAAACGGUCCUUUCUAAUACAAGGGUCUAAUGACGGUACCGUAAGAAUAAGCACCGGCUAACUACGUGCCAGCAGCCGCGGUAGUACGUAGGGUGCGAGCGUUAAUCGGAAUUACUGGGCGUAAAGCGUGCGCAGGCGGUUGUGUAAGACAGUUGUGAAAUCCCCGGGCUCAACCUGGGAAUUGCAUCUGUGACUGCACAGCUAGAGUACGGUAGAGGGGGAUGGAAUUCCGCGUGUAGCAGUGAAAUGCGUAGAUAUGCGGAGGAACACCGAUGGCGAAGGCAAUCCCCUGGACCUGUACUGACGCUCAUGCACGAAAGCGUGGGGAGCAAACAGGAUUAGAAACCCCGGUAGUCC
rnacentral:rRNA from 1 species